rnacentral:misc_RNA from 1 species
GAUGAAGAACGCAGUGAAAUGCGAUACGUAAUGUGAAUUGCAGAAUUCAGUGAAUCAUCGAGUCUUUGAACGCACAUUGCGCCCCCUGGUAUUCCGGGGGGCAUGCCUGUCCGAGCGUCAUAGCUGCCCUCAAGCACGGCUUGUGUGUUGGGCCUCCGUCCUCCUCCCGGGGGACGGGCCCGAAAGGCAGCGGCGGCACCGCGUCCGGUCCUCGAGCGUAUGGGGCUUCGUCACCCGCUCUUGUAGGCCCGGCCGGCGCUUGCCGACACAUCAAUCUUUUUUCCAGGUUGACCUCGGAUCAGGUAGGGAUACCCGCUGAACUUAAGCAUAUCAAUAAGCGGAGGA